GAUGAAGAACGUAGUGAAAUGCGAUAAGUAAUGUGAAUUGCAGAAUUCAGUGAAUCAUCGAAUCUUUGAACGCACAUUGCGCCCUCUGGUAUUCCGGGGGGCAUGACUGUUCGAGCGUCAUUAUAACCACUCAAGCUCUCGCUUGGUAUUGGGGUUCGCGGUUUCGCGGCCCCUAAAAUCAGUGGCGGUGCCUGUCGGCUCUACGCGUAGUAAUACUUCUCGCGAUUGAGUUCGAUAGGUCUACUUGCCAGUAACCCCCAAUUUUUACAGGUUGACCUCGGAUCAGGUAGGGAUACCCGCUGAACUUAAGCAUAUCAAUAAGCGGAGGA
rnacentral:misc_RNA from 1 species